rnacentral:lncRNA from 10 species
ACAGGAGAACUCACUGGUUGAGGAAUUUGACAUGAGCCCAGUUAUCUCCCCAGUGAGUAGAAAAAGCCCCUUCUAUGUGAAUUAGGUAGAAUGCCAGGUUUGGUUCACUUUCAGUGACUUUAUGGUAUUAAUAUUUUAAUGAGUUCCCAGCAUUUUGGGGGAAGCAGAUCUGCUUUCAUUCUAGGCCUAAACUUGUCUGAGAGCAAUUUAACCCUUUGCUCUGUGCCAGUCUCCCUUCCCACCCGAUCCCUGGUUCCCAAGGGAAGCUGCACCAGAGGUGGUUGGUCACCCAGCAGCCGCUCAGAGUGCCAGUGAGUGUGCACAUGCCCCUCGGUGUCUGACCUUUUUCUGUAAACAAUGAGGGGUAGAAUUUUUGUGUAUCUUCACGUCUGAGCAUGGCUCUUCGAAUUCAUACGUAAAGAGGCAGGCACAGAUAAUGUUAACUGGCUUGUCGAAAAGCCCGCAGAGAGCCAGCCCCAGAAAGCAGUCUCCUGAUUUCCUGUCCUGGUGCCUGUUACCCUGGCACAGGCCCGUGGGGCAUUGGUGCCCCUCAUUUUCUCUGGCUGGUCUUGAAGGAAUUCUUAUCUCCAGCUCAGUGGUUGGGGGGCACUAGGGGAGGAGAGGCCCUCUCUUUCCUUCUCUCCACAUUCUCCCUGCCCCGCUAGUUGUGUCUCCUGUGGAACUGUCUGCUUUCCAAUGUCUUUCUGAGGAAAAGUGCCAUGUUUGGCAGAGGCUCAGGAAAAAGCUUCAAGGGGCAGAAAAGCUCUGUUUGAAUCGACUCACCGGGACAGGCAGCUGAGGAAGGAGCGCCAUGGAAGCCACAGAUGGGAUGACUCUGCUGAAGCAGGAAUGCACCCAGCCGGGAGGCCGCCAGCCCUGCCAGCCGUCAGCACACAAAGGCACCGCUGUCUGCUGGGGAGGUUGGGAGCAGGCCCUGUGUGCCUAAAUGUGCCUGUGGAGGCAGCGUGGGCUCUCCAAGAUGGGGCGUGUUCUGUGUCUGCACCUGCUGGUCUCUCUGUGCUGGCUGAGCUGAGCACCUACUGUGUGUGUGCCGGGCACUCUGCAGAGAGUGUACAGACAGCAGGCUGGGGCCUGCCUGGAGGAGGUGACUGUUUCGUGCUCAGAGACAGGCAAAUCAGCUUCAAGAUGAGAGCCAGAGACUAGCACAGAGGAGGGGCGCCCCACCGAGCCUCGAGAGCUUCUGGGGUGGGUACGGGCCUUUGAUAGAUGACACAGCACUUCUAUAGGGCACCAAAAAGGGGCUGCUGGGCCUGUCUCAGCCUUAGACUUGGGAAUAGUGCCACGUAUUGCCUUUGAGCAAGAGGAAGUGUGUCGUGGAGGAGAGACUGUGGGUUUUGGACUAGACAGAGCAGGAAUCUGCCUCUUUAGCUUCCUAACUGCAACCUGGCUG